rnacentral:hammerhead_ribozyme from 1 species
AGCCGAAACGCUCCGAUUCGGAGCGUCCACCGCGGGACGGUCUCCCGGUGCGGAUGAUUGGCAGACCAGA